rnacentral:rRNA from 1 species
GUGAGGAAUAUUGGUCAAUGGACGGAAGUCUGAACCAGCCAUGCCGCGUGCAGGAAUAAGGUCCUAUGGAUUGUAAACUGCUUUUAUUCGGGAAUAAACCUCUUUACGUGUAGGGAGCUGAAGGUACCGAAGGAAUAAGCACCGGCUAACUCCGUGCCAGCAGCCGCGGUAAUACGGAGGGUGCAAGCGUUCUCCGGAAUCCUUGGGUUUAAAGGGUCCGCAGGCGGGCUAUCAAGUCAGAGGUGAAAUCCCACAGCUUAACUGUGGAACUGCCUUGGAAACUGAUGGUCUUGAAGUAAGUGGGCGUUGGCGGAAUAUGACAUGUAGCGGUGAAAUGCAUAGAUAUGUCAUGGAACACCGAAAGCGAAGGCAGCUAACGAUACUUAUAUUGACGCUCAUGGACGAAAGCGUGGGUAGCGAACAGGAUUAGAUACCCCGGUAGUCC